rnacentral:rRNA from 1 species
CACGUAGGGGGCGAGCGUUGUCCGGAAUCACUGGGCGUAAAGCGCACGUAGGCGGGUCGUUAAGUCGGGGGUGAAAUCCUGGAGCUCAACUCCAGAACUGCCUUCGAUACUGGCGAUCUUGAGUCUGGGAGAGGUGAGUGGAACUCCGAGUGUAGAGGUGAAAUUCGUAGAUAUUCGGAAGAACACCAGUGGCGAAGGCGGCUCACUGGCCCGGUACUGACGCUGAGGUGCGAAAGCGUGGGGAGCAAAUAGG